rnacentral:rRNA from 1 species
GACGAACGCUGGCGGCGUGCUUAACACAUGCAAGUCGAACGGAAAGGCCCUGCUUUUGUGGGGUGCUCGAGUGGCGAACGGGUGAGUAACACGUGAGUAACCUGCCCUUGACUUUGGGAUAACUUCAGGAAACUGGGGCUAAUACCGGAUAGGAGCUCCUGCUGCAUGGUGGGGGUUGGAAAGUUUCGGCGGUUGGGGAUGGACUCGCGGCUUAUCAGCUUGUUGGUGGGGUAGUGGCUUACCAAGGCUUUGACGGGUAGCCGGCCUGAGAGGGUGACCGGCCACAUGGGGACUGAGAUACGGCCCAGACCCCUACGGGAGGAAGCAGUGGGGAAUAUUGCACAAUGGGCGGAGGCAGAAUCCAGCAACGCCGCGUGAGGGAUGACGGCCUUCGGGUUGUAAACCGCUUUCGCCUGUGACGAAGCGUGAGUGACGGUAAUGGGUAAAGAAGCACCGGCUAACUACGUG